UACGAAGGGGGCUAGCGUUGUUCGGAUUCAUUGGGCGUAAAGGGUGCGUAGGUGGUGGGGUAAGUCGGAUGUGAAAUCCCGGGGCUCAACCCCGGAACUGCAUUCGAAACUGCCUUGCUCGAGUACUGGAGAGGAGACUGGAAUUUACGGUGUAGCAGUGAAAUGCGUAGAUAUCGUAAGGAAGACCAGUGGCGAAGGCGAGUCUCUGGACAGUUACUGACACUGAGGCACGAAGGCCAGGGGAGCAAACGGG
rnacentral:rRNA from 1 species